GCCCGACUAGUUCAGUCGGUAGAGCAUGAAACUCUUAAUAUCAGGGCCGUGGGUUCGAGCCCCAAGUUGGGCG